GUCAGGUUUGAUGGUGAGCAGACGUGCCAGCCCCUCUCUUCAGUGCAUCCCUAUUUUCUGAGGUACCACUAGGGUCAAGGACGACCCACAUCUUAGUAGAAAGUGCUGCGCAAGCGUGUUCGCUGCCGAAGUUGCCCAUCUAGAGACGACCACAAGAACGAACACAGCAUGUUUGCGAUUGGCACGGGCCCGUCUGCCUACAGCAUCAAACUGUCUUGUGUCCGAAGUGUGUGCCUCGUACGUAGGUAGCAAAUUUGGCCGUCGCACUUGUCGUGGGUGGGGCCCUAUUUACUGUACAUAUCCAUUAGGUAGCAAAUUUGGCCGUCGCACUUGUCGUGGGUGGGGGCCCAUUUACUGUAUAUAUCAAUUAGAUUUUGACCUCUAUGGGUCCGACACCUUUUCUGGCUGUGGAGACUUGUAAAUUGUAGUUUUAGGAAGGAUUCCCUCAAUUUAUUUUCUUAUAUAGGUUAUUUUGUAUUUUUUAUAAAUAUUUUUUGUAAAUUAUUUUUUUGUUA